GCUGCUGGUUGGCUGUUUUUGUGAUUUAUUUCUUGAUCAUAUGCUAAACGAAGUGUGCAUUAUUCACGAGUUUUCCAGGUGAUUUCUUAGGGGUGGGGAGUGGGCCGCCAGGUUGCCAUGGCAUUUGUAAACCCUCCUGGUACUGGUGGGAGUGUCUUUUGGCAUGCUAGUGUGUUAUCAUUAGCACAUUAGGAGCAGCAAGGGUAACCAGAGGCCACUUCUGUUGCCUUUUUGGUUUUGGUAGGUUUUGCUCAGCUUCUCUACAGCAUCCUGUUUUACUGGAGGAGUCUUGUAUCCUGUGUCUUAGGAAACCAGUGCCGCCAAACUCCUAUCUCUCACCUGUGCCCACUGCAUAUCCGCAGCUUACCAGCAGGAGGAGAGAAUGAACAUAACACAAACAACAGCAGGGGAGGAGAUCAAAGCAGCUGCAUCAUCUCAUUAACUUUCACUCAGCAUUCCUGGAGGAGAUUGCCAGGUAUUGAGUCUGAUUUGCCUACCACAAGAUGAAGGGCACAUGUGGUGGAGGAGAAGCAGAAGAUCGGAUUGGGAAGCCCAAGAGUCAUCUGGAGGUGCCCUAAGAGUACAGCUUUGGAUAACAGACAUCCUGAAACCUGGCUUGCCUGCCACUGAACACCACAUGCAAAUUCAAGCCCAGUGAAUAUGUGUGGUCUCAACUGAAACAAAAAAAAAAAAUUUUUUUUAAGAAACAAUACAGAUUUAGGCACUCACAAUUCUCUCAGCAACUGUAAUGGGUUGAAUGGUGGUCCCCAAUAUUAUGUCCAUUUCCUAACCCCUGGAACCUGUGACUAUGACCUUCUUUCAAAAAAGGGUCUUUGCAGAAGUAAUGAAGAGAUCAGAUCAUUCUGGGUUACCCAGGUAGGCACUGAAUUGUGAGAGACAGAAGAGAAGACACAUGUGGAGGAGGGGCUGUGGCCACUGAGGCAUGCUGGAGCCAUGCAGGCCAGGGAAGUCGAGGCACGCUGACAUUCACCAGAAGCUGUCAGAGGCAAGGGAGGGUUCUCCCCUAGAGCAUUAGGAGGGAGUGCGACCCUGCCAAUAAUCUUGUCUUUCAACUCUGGCCUUCAGAACUGUUUUAAGCCACCAAGAUGGAGGUAACUUUUAUGGCUGCUGGAGAAAACUCACAAAGCAGCCUACAAAGGCAGUAGAGCAGCUCAAGCUUGGC
rnacentral:lncRNA from 1 species